GGUCCGUUGGCGCAGUGGUUAGCGUGGUAGCAUCUCACCCCAGUAUGGCCUGGGUUCAAUCCCAGACGGACCC
rnacentral:tRNA from 2 species